GUGAGGAAUAUUGGUCAAUGGGAGGAAUCCUGAACCAGCCAUGCCGCGUGCAGGACGACGGCUCUACGAGUUGUAAACUGCUUUUGUACCGGGGUAAAAUGCCUUACGAGUAGGGUUUUGAAAGUACGGUACGAAUAAGGAUCGGCUAACUCCGUGCCAGCAGCCGCGGUAAUACGGAGGAUCCGAGCGUUAUCCGGAUUCAUUGGGUUUAAAGGGUGCGUAGGUUGUUUUAUAAGUUAGCGGUGAAAUACCGAUGCUCAACAUCGGGGCUGCCGCUAAUACUGUAGGACUAGAGAUCGGAUGCAGCAGGCGGAAUGUGUAGUGUAGCGGUGAAAUGCAUAGAUAUUACACAGAACACCGAUUGCGAAGGCAGCUUGCUAGGCCGGAUCUGACACUGAUGCACGAAAGCGUGGGGAUCGAACAGG
rnacentral:rRNA from 1 species